rnacentral:tRNA from 1 species
GCCCUCGUAGCUCAAAUGGAUAGAGCGACAGUCUGCUAAACUGUGGGUUGAGGGUUCAAUUCCCUCCGAGGGCA